rnacentral:rRNA from 1 species
CCUGAGAAACCCGAAAGAUCGAAUGGGGAGAUUCAUCGUCAGCGAUUUCGGUGCGUGUGCGGCUCGCGAUGUCGGGGACCUCGGUCCCGCGGCACGCGUCCGUAUGUUUUUUAUUGCCGGAAUCGUCGGCGUGCACUUCUCCCCUAGUAGGACGUCGCGACCCGUUGGGUGUCGGUCUACGGCACGGUAGGGUAGCCUGUCUCGCGUGGCGCUUCGCGGCGUUACGCGGGGCAGACCUCCGUUCGCCCGACCGGCUGCCCGGCGGUACUCGCAAGGUAUCUGGCCGCAGACAUACGAACUGCGUCCGGCCCGUCGCAAGCGCGGCAAGUGUCUCACCCGGCUGUACGGAUCCAAUGCCGUCACCGGGCCUUGCCAGCUGUUGGUUCGACGGUGUCCUAGGACAGGCUAACAAAAUUAUGAUACCGGUCGGCGACGCUACUGCUUUGGGUACUUUCAGGACCCGUCUUGAAACACGGACCAAGGAGUCUAACAUGUGCGCGAGUCAUUGGGAACUCUGUGUAAGCCUAAAGGCGCAAUGAAAGUGAAGAUCGACCUCGCGCCGAUCGAGGGAGGAUGGGCCGNGUCACGAUGCGGUCCCGCACUCCCGGGGCGUCUCGUUCUCAUCGCGAGAAGAGGCGCACCCAGAGCGUACACGUUGGGACCCGAAAGAUGGG